AUGCUCCGGAUCCUCGGGAGGCCGGGGCGCGGCGCUGGAGUCACUUCAGCCCACGUCGUUCCGGUGACAAAAGGGAAAACUCUGGGUGUGCAAAACGUCUCGGGGUUUCGGGGCCGGCGGUUCCGGGCGCGCCUCGCCGGCUGCGGCGCAGAACUACAACCCCCAGGCUCCCCGGCGUGGCGGCACGUGGGCCCGGGCCUAGCCGCCGCGGCUAUAAAGUGCUGCGGGGCUGCCAAGCCGAGCGGCGGCACGGACCGAGCGGAGACUUGGCUAUACCUGCUGGAAUGGAUAAAGCGAGUUUUAAAAGUUGGUCAGACUGAAGAGAUUGAAGUGAGAGAACCACAGGAACAAAGGCAAGCAGACAGACGGUGGUAGGUAGGAGGAACAGGAAACAGUUUGUUCAGCUGGGCAAGUACAGUGCAGGAAGGAAGAUUUGAAUAGAGACCCAGACCCAGGGAGUUGGGUCUUUAGCCUACUGGCAUUUUCUAAACAGGACAAAGACAAGACCAGAAAUGCUGGUGUUACUGGAAGAUUAAUCUGACAGCUGGUGUGAAUUGAAGAAAGAAUAGGGAUUAGGACAGUGAUUGCCAACCACUAUCCUACACUCCCACAGGCCCCUUGUUUUGAAUUUUUGAACUAAUCAAACUACAUUUGUGAUCAUUAGUUUUAUUUCUUUCCAUCAAAGGCACAUAUAAAAUUGCCAGUUUGAGCUUCUGAUGAUUCUAAGAACAUCCGUGUUACUGUCCUAAGUAUGAAAUAAAUGCAGGCAAAAACACAAAAACACCCGUGGCGUUUUAUUUAGCCUGAACGGCCUAGUAGUGUUGGAUUUAGGAGAUGUUUAAUACUGACUCAAGUUCUCAGGACUCUAUCACUUGAACCUUCUUGGGCCCCUUGGACCUGAGGUUUUGCCUAUUGGUCUAGAUAAGAGGUAACAAAGGGGCAAAUUACAAAGGCGUAAAGAGGAAAAGAGGAAUUGCAGGGGAAGAAGGUAACAGAAUUGGAAUGACCUACUCCCUAAAUAGACAAGAGUAGUCAGGGUUGGAAAGGAGGCACCAGCAGAGCAAAGAUGACUGGGAAGAUGAUGCUGGUAAGAGCGUAAUAUUUUCUGCUGUCCUGUACACAUCAGGCAAGACUUCAUGGAGGGCACUGAACACAUAUGUGCCCAGCAUUGUUGUUAAUCACUUUACGUGAAUUAGUUCAUUUACUUCUCUCAACAACGAUGUGAAAAACAAUUACUAUUAUCCUCCUUUAUCGAAGGGGAAACCGAAGCAGAAAGAGGUUAUUUAAUGGGCUCAAGGUCACCUAGCUGGUAAGUGGUAGAGCCAGGAUGCAGAUCCAUGAGGCCCGACUCCAGAGCUGGCCCUCUCACCCCUCUAGUAAGGAAUAAAGGAGAUGGCAGGUUCCCUUUGGGCAUGUUGAGAUGCUUAUAGGAGUGCUAGGUGAAGAUGUACAGUAGGCAUAGCAUCAAUCUCCUUUGAUGCUUAAACAUCCCUCCAGGGGGAGAUGGCCUAGGUUAUUGGCCUUUAAGGCUCAGAAGCUAACUGGCCUGCUGAUUGUACUGAAGGUAAUCACAUGAGGCCCAAAGAGUGAUUAGAGCCACAUCUUAUGAUUUCUUAUCUUGUGUUUUUCCAUGGUCCAGGUUAUGAGAUUCAUCUUUCUAAACUUCCAGCCUGAUUUUAGUCUCAUGUUUGAUUAAGAAAUACAGAGCAAAGCUACAUGCAGGACUUGCUCUUGAUUUUAGGAGCAAGCCUUUCUGGGAACAUGUCUGUUUGCAAGGAAAGUAUCAUGUUGUCUUUCUACUGAAAGCAGUCAGUAUUUCUCAAGGGCUUACCUGAGCCAAGACUCCUGGGGAAGGAAAAUAGAAGAUCUGGUCUCUAUACUUCUGAAGUUUAUUCUCCUAUUUGGGAAGAUAAGAUGAACAAUUAGAGCAAACAAAACAAACUUACAUAACUAAGUACUACAUUAUGUGGGUUAGAUUUAAGUGUAGUGGGCAUUGAGUUUUUGAAUGUGCCAGUAAUGUCAGAACUAUAGCAUAACCUUUGUUGGUCACCGAUAAACAUCACUUUAUUUGCUACAAGGCCACUAUCUUUUGUAGAAUUGUCAUCAAAUACUAUCUGAUUAUAUUUUAUUUUCAUUUUCAAUCGUUAGACGUUACAUUUGGAGCUUUGAAUUGCAUUUGUGGCUUAUGUCUUAUGCUCAAAAAACAGUAAUGCUUCUACAACCAGCGAAUGUCAGAGCUGCGAGUUGAACCAGGUGUUCUGCCUGUGGGACCCAGGCUGUUAACCAGUCUGCUCUGUUGCUUCUUGUGGCCCAUCUGGAGUCUUUUACACUGAUUAUGGGCAGGUACAAUCUGCCAGAUGAUGGGAGAUCCUUUGGCCCCCAAUAAGUGGUGUGAGUUUAACUCUUUCAGUGGUGAACUCCCUGUCUGUGGAAGCCAUUAUCCAGCCACAGUUCUGAUCACUUCGUUCAGUCACCCAUGUGUUCUUCUCUUUUGAAUUGAACACCUGGUGUCAAGCAGAGGGCUCACCGCAGAGAGCAAAGGCAAAUAAAACAUCCCUGUCCUGGGGUCCUGCUCUAGUGGGGAAGAGGGAGGUGAAUAUGCAGUUUACAUGGUUAACUAGAACUAGGAAAACUGGACAGAACUGGGCAAAAUUAGGAUGUGAAAAGUUAGGUAAAUCUGAAGGUAGUUAUGUAAAUCAUAAUGAAACCUUAAGACAGGCUUGUUUUAGGUGAGAUUCUAGCUUAAGAAUGAAGACAAUGCAAAGAGAAAAUGUCCCCCUUUGUGACCAUAUUUCAGUUUAAGUAAUAGUACAGUUGACUCUUGAAUUACAUGGGUUUGAAGUGUGCAGGUCCAUUUACGUGGAUUUUUUUCAACUAAAGGCAGAUAGAAAAUCAGUAUUUGCAGGAUUCAGAAUUCUUAUAUGCCAGGCUGGGGCUGUGUGACUUGAGCAGGCGUGGAUUUUUAUAUAUGUGGGGGUCCUGGAACUGAUCCUCUGUGUAUACUGAGGCAUGGCUAUAAUUCAUUGUAUGUUUUACUUACCUGAGUCAGGUUCAAGCUCUUUCCUGGGCCUGCUGCUGUUUACCCUUAUCCUUUGCGGUCUUAGAUGGCUUCUAUCAUCUGUGUAGAUAAAACGGGAGCCUGUCCACAUAGUAUUUUCUCAGGUCUACCCUCUCCUGUCUUAAAGUUUCCUCCUUGGCAGAAUUAAGCUCUAAAAUUUUACCAUCUUAUACUUGCUCUGUGUGUUUGUGUACUUGUAAGCACAAUUUAGAGUUCUAAACUAGAAAUGGACUUUGGGAGUUUUAUCAUUGACAUUCCUUGAAGAAAAAGAGAAA
ensembl:lncRNA